rnacentral:rRNA from 1 species
AGGAGGCAGCAGUGAGGAAUCUUGCACAAUGGGGGCAACCCUGAUGCAGCGACGCCGCGUGAGCGAUGAAGCCCUUCGGGGUGUAAAGCUCUUUCGGCAGGGACGAGACAAGACGGUACCUGCAGAAGCAGCUGCGGCUAACUACGUGCCAGCAGCCGCGGUAAUACGUAGGCAGCGAGCGUUGUUCGGAAUUACUGGGCGUAAAGGGUGUGUAGGCGGUUCUCUAAGUUUGGUGUGAAAUCUCCCGGCUUAACCGGGAGGGUGCGCCGAAAACUGGGGGACUAGAGUGCGGGAAGGGAGAGUGGAAUUCCUGGUGUAGCGGUGAAAUGCGUAGAUAUCAGGAGGAACACCGGUGGUGUAGACGGCUCUCUGGACCGUAACUGACGCUGAGACACGAAAGCGUGGGUAGCAAACAGGAUUAGAUACCCUGGU